AUGAGAUAAGGCUGCAUCUAG
rnacentral:sRNA from 1 species